rnacentral:rRNA from 1 species
CCUACGGGAGGCAGCAGUGUGGGAAUAUUGCGCAAUGGGGGAAAAGUAUAGGCAGCAACGCCGCGUGGAGGAAGAAGGUCUUCGGAUGCGCAACUCCUGUCUUCUGGGACGAUAAUGACGGUACCAGAGGAGGAAGCCACGGCUAACUACGUGCCAGCAGCCGCGGUAAU